CAUGCGUGUCAACAAUUUCACAGUCAUUGAUAACGUAUUUUGUCUUUUAAAUCACGGGGUAUCCAUAAAUUCUGUAUUUGGAGGUCUGAUAAUACAACAAAAUGAAGCUCAAAUCCAAGCCCCCAUCUCAUAAAUCAGAAAACACGUACCGCUUUGUGACGUUUUCUGAGAGGCUCGCAAAAGUAAACAUUGAUGUCAUUCAUCGCAUUGACAGGACUGGAAGUUAUACAGAGGAGGUAGAAACCUAUUUUUAUGAAGCCCUAAUAAAAUGGAAAGACCUGAAUUUGACAGAUCACUUCAGUAAG